rnacentral:rRNA from 1 species
GACGAACGCUGGCGGCGUGCUUAACACAUGCAAGUCGAACGGAAAGGCCCUGCUUUUGUGGGGUGCUCGAGUGGCGAACGGGUGAGUAACACGUGAGUAACCUGCCCUUGACUUUGGGAUAACUUCAGGAAACUGGGGCUAAUACCGGAUAGGAGCUCCUGCUGCAUGGUGGGGGUUGGAAAGUUUCGGCGGUUGGGGAUGGACUCGCGGCUUAUCAGCUUGUUGGUGGGGUAGUGGCUUACCAAGUCUUUGACGGGUAGCCGGCCUGAGAGGGUGACCGGCCACAUUGGGACUGAGAUACGGCCCAGACUCCUACGGGAGGCAGCAGGGGGGAAUAUUGCACAAUGGGCGGAAGCCUGAUGCAGCAACGCCGCGUGCGGGAUGACGGCCUUCGGGUUGUAAACCGCUUUCGCCUGUGACGAAGCGUGAGUGACGGUAAUGGGUAAAGAAGCACCGGCUAACUACGUG